UACAGAGGGUGCAAACGUUUGUUCGGAAUUACUGGGCGUAAAGCGUGUGUAGGCGGCCUCGUAGGUCGGAUGUGAAAGCUCUCGGCUCAACCGGGAAAGUGCAUUCGAAACCACAAGGCUUGAGUGUCGGAGAGGAAGGCGGAAUUGUCGGUGUAGAGGUGAAAUUCGUAGAUAUCGACAGGAACACCUGCGGCGAAAGCGGCCUUCUGGACGAACACUGACGCUGAGACGAACGAAAGCGAUG
rnacentral:rRNA from 1 species